AGUGGCGGACGGGUGAGUAACGCGUGAGAAUCUGCCUUGGGGUCGGGGACAACCACUGGAAACGGUGGCUAAUACCGGAUACGCCUUCGGGUAAAAGAUUUAUUGCCCUAAGAGGAGCUCGCGUCUGAUUAGCUAGUUGGUGAGGUAAGAGCUCACCAAGGCAGCGAUCAGUAGCUGGUCUGAGAGGACGAUCAGCCACACUGGGACUGAGACACGGCCCAGACUCCUACGGGAGGCAGCAGUGGGGAAUUUUCCGCAAUGGGCGAAAGCCUGACGGAGCAAGACCGCGUGAGGGAGGAAGGCUCUUGGGUUGUAAACCUCUUUUCUCAGGGAAGAAGCUCUGACGGUACCUGAGGAAUCACCCUCGGCUAACUCCGUGCCAGCAGCCGCGGUAAUACGGAGGAGGCAAGCGUUAUCCGGAAUUAUUGGGCGUAAAGCGUCCGCAGGUGGCGAUUCAAGUCUGCUGUUAAAGCACGGGGCUUAACUCCGUAAAGGCAGUGGAAACUGAAUAGCUAGAGUGCCGUAGGGGUAGAGGGAAUUCCCGGUGUAGCGGUGAAAUGCGUAGAGAUCGGGAAGAACAUCGGUGGCGAAAGCGCUCUACUGGACGGCAACUGACACUCAGGGACGAAAGCUAGGGGAGCGAAUCGGAUUAGAUACCCC
rnacentral:rRNA from 1 species